rnacentral:lncRNA from 1 species
AUGUCAGGGCUCAUCCUCUCCUCAUUCGAACGUGGCUCCCAGGUGUUCCAGGGUGCCCUUUCUCCAGCAUCCCUGCACUCCAGGCACUCAGCGCUUCCCCUGCUCCCCGACAAUACUUUCAGGGUCGGGGAGCCCUGCCCCACUCAUCUCCCGGCUCCACCACCCAUCCAGCCAGCCUGCCGGAGCUCCCCCGGCUCUGCUAUCGCCCCUCUCCCCACGCCGGGGCUCCCCCCUUUCAUCCCCCGGCUCUCCCGGGGAUCCCCAAAACCCGUGUCGUGUCCCGCCCCGCCGGCACCGGGCGAUCGCCACGUGGCCCCCGCAAAAUCCCCCCAGGGCCAUUUACGGCUCAGCUCUGCACUCCUGCGAGAUCCAAAAAUAUCUCCUCAUCAAAUAAAUACAAAAUACCUCUCCCAGCGACACCGAAAUAUAUUUGGGACUCGACUCCGGAAUCGGCAGGGCCUAAACCACAGCAAAAUCCCCUUCUCCCCGCCAAAAAAACCCUCUCGGAGCUGCCGCGAUCGACUCGGGAUGAGCUUUCCCUCGGCGCUCACCUGCGGGACGCGGGGCAAUGCGAUGCUGCCGGGCCCAGCCGAGCUGCGGGCUCGCCGUGGAACCCCGCAACGCUCCUUCCACUGCUGCCGCUCCCGCUCCCGCUCGGCCUGCUCCCCUUCGUGCUCCUCCUGUUCCAGUUCCAGUUCCUGCUCCUCCCCUUCCCGUCUCCCUCCCCUUCCUCCCGCUCCUCCUCCGCUCCCGCCCCGGACCCUCCUUUCGCAUCGCCUCUGUCCCACGGCCGCAGCAGCAGUGGCACUGGGGCAGGGGGAGGAAUACCCAGAGCUCCCAGCGUUGGGCAGGGGCCUCGGGGACUCCCCAGUGCAGAUCCGCCCGUCCCGUCCCCCUCCCCCCGAGCUAAAAUUCCGCUCCCGGGGCUCGCUAGGUACGAGCGGUGGCGCAGGUGGGGUGGAAGUGGGGAGCGCUGGGCGCUGCGGCUCUGCCCGGGAACUGCGGAGUCACCGCUAG